AAACUGCACAUAUGUGGAGAGCAGAUAAUUGAAGUGACACAAUCAUUUGCAGAAUUCAUUUUCACAAGAGUGCAAUACGUCAAGAAGAAAUUACACUUACACUUCAGGUCAAUAACUAAACCGUAAGUAUUACCACCUCAGAUGAUUUUUAUUUUGUUUAUUUUUAAAGUAUUUUGAUUUGAUAUUCUAAACUUGGUUCUUGCUAAACACUGAAGAGAGUUUUGCAAUUCUCCAAAGUGAGAGGGAAGGGAGGAAGAAAACAAAGAAACCUGAAUGAUUCUGGUCAUUUUGCAGAUGCUUCCAAGCCAGAGAAUUGGCCGAGGAGAGGGAAAACAAAGAUAGUUAUCACGGUAGCUUAUGGCACAGAAUACCAAAAAAAACAAUUCUUUGGCAGUACAUGCAAUAAAUUGGUUCCAGAUUAUAACAGCUUAUUUCUUGAUGCCAUCUAAGUACUUUUUUUUUUCUCUUUUUUCCCUACCAUACCAUUAGUCUGUUAAAUACACUGAGUCUCAUUUUAUAAUGAUAAUUAAAAGAAACAACAGCCUCUAGAAUUACCUGG
rnacentral:lncRNA from 1 species